UCGGAACAGCAGACAACUUCCCUCAGCACCUCACAAGUAGACCAAGCCAGUCACCGAGCUGCCAAAUGAAGGCUUGACAGUUCCAGAAGGCGCUCUUUCCUUUGACCGGUUCCUCCCAAGGUUUAUCUAAUGGGGUCAGGAAAGAAA